CAGCCAUGCAAUGUUCACAGUGCGAAUUAUUCUUUCGCCUUUUACUAAAGAAUACCGUGUGAACAUUGCUUAAAGUGGCAUACGCCAAAUUUUUGAAGGAUCCCCUCCUGUUUAAGGAGU